rnacentral:rRNA from 1 species
UACGUAGGGUGCAAGCGUUUGUUCGGAAUCAUUGGGCGUAAAGCGCGUGUAGGUGGUUAUUUAAGUCGAGUGUGAAAUCCCUGGGCUCAACCGAGGAAGUGCAUUCGAAACUGAAUAGCUAGAAGAUGGUAGAGGAAGGUGGAAUUCCUAGUGUAGAGGUGAAAUUCGUAGAUAUUAGGAGGAAUACCGGUGGCGAAGGCGGCCUUCUGGGCCAUUCUUGACACUGAGACGCGAAAGCGUGGGGAGCAAACAGG